UACGUAGGGAGCAAGCGUUGUCCGGAAUCAUUGGGCGUAAAGCGCGCGUAGGCGGCCCGAUAAGUCCGCUGUGAAAGUCAACGGCUCAACUGUUGGAUGCCGGUGGAUACUGUCGGGCUAGAGUACGGAGGAGGCAAGUGGAAUUCCUGGUGUAGCGGUGGAAUGCGCAGAUAUCAGGAGGAACACCUAUAGCGAAGGCAGCUUGCUGGGACGUUACUGACGCUAAGGCGCGAAAGCGUGGGGAGCGAACAGG
rnacentral:rRNA from 1 species